rnacentral:rRNA from 1 species
AACGAACGCUGGCGGCAUGCCUAACACAUGCAAGUCGAACGAGACCUUCGGGUCUAGUGGCGCACGAGUUCGUAACGCGUGGGAACCUGCCCUUAGGUUCGGCAUAACUCCCCGAAAGGGAUGCUAAUACCGGAUAAUGUCUUCGGCCCAAAGAUUUAUCGCGUUUGGAUGGUCCCACGUUGGAUUCGCUAGUUGGUAGGGUAAAAGCCUACCAAGGCGACGAUCCCUAGCUGGUCUGAGAGGAUGAUCAGCCACACUGGGACUGAGACACGGCCCAGACUCCUACGGGAGGCAGCAGUGGGGAAUAUUGGACAAUGGGCGAAAGCCUGAUGCAGCAAGGCCGCGUGAGUGAUGAAGGCCUUAGGGUUGUAAAGCUCUUUUACCCGGGAUGAUAAUGACAGUACCGGGAGAAUAAGCUCCGGCUAACUCCGUG